AACCCGCACGCCGGAAGACCAAGGGUUCCUGUCCAACGUUAAUCGGGGCAGGGUGAGUCGACCCCUAAGGCGAGGCCGAAAGGCGUAGUCGAUGGGAAACAGGUUAAUAUUCCUGUACUUGGUGUUACUGCGAAGGGGGGACGGAGAAGGCUAUGUUAGCCGGGCGACGGUUGUCCCGGUUUAAGCAUGUAGGCGGAGGUUCCAGGUAAAUCCGGUACCUUUUUAACGCUGAGGUGUGAUGACGAGGCACUACGGUGCUGAAGUAACAAAUGCCCUGCUUCCAGGAAAAGCCUCUAAGCAUCAGGUAACACGAAAUCGUACCCCAAACCGACACAGGUGGUCAGGUAGAGAAUACCAAGGCGCUUGAGAGAACUCGGGUGAAGGAACUAGGCAAAAUGGUGCCGUAACUUCGGGAGAAGGCACGCUGAUAUGUAGGUGAAGCGGUUUACCCGUGGAGCUGAAAUCAGUCGAAGAUACCAGCUGGCUGCAACUGUUUAUUAAAAACACAGCACUGUGCAAACACGAAAGUGGACGUAUACGGUGUGACGCCUGCCCGGUGCCGGAAGGUUAAUUGAUGGGGUUAUCCGUAAGGAGAAGCUCUUGAUCGAAGCCCCGGUAAACGGCGGCCGUAACUAUAACGGUCCUAAGGUAGCGAAAUUCCUUGUCGGGUAAGUUCCGACCUGCACGAAUGGCGUAAUGAUGGCCAGGCUGUCUCCACCCGAGACUCAGUGAAAUUGAACUCGCUGUGAAGAUGCAGUGUACCCGCGGCAAGACGGAAAGACCCCGUGAACCUUUACUAUAGCUUGACACUGAACACUGGUCCUUGAUGUGUAGGAUAGGUGGGAGGCUUUGAAGUGUGGACGCCAGUCUGCAUGGAGCCAUCCUUGAAAUACCACCCUUUAAUGGCUGGUGUUCUAACGUGGACCCGUUAUCCGGGUUGCGGACAGUGUCUGGUGGGUAGUUUGACUGGGGCGGUCUCCUCCUAAAGAGUAACGGAGGAGCACGAAGGUUAGCUAAUCCUGGUCGGACAUCAGGAGGUUAGUGCAAAGGCAUAAGCUAGCUUGACUGCGAGAGUGACGGCUCGAGCAGGUGCGAAAGCAGGUCUUAGUGAUCCGGUGGUUCUGAAUGGAAGGGCCAUCGCUCAACGGAUAAAAGGUACUCCGGGGAUAACAGGCUGAUACCGCCCAAGAGUUCAUAUCGACGGCGGUGUUUGGCACCUCGAUGUCGGCUCAUCACAUCCUGGGGCUGAAGUAGGUCCCAAGGGUAUGGCUGUUCGCCAUUUAAAGUGGUACGCGAGCUGGGUUUAGAACGUCGUGAGACAGUUCGGUCCCUAUCUGCCGUGGGCGCUGGAGAAUUGAGGGGGGCUGCUCCUAGUACGAGAGGACCGGAGUGGACGCAUCACUGGUGUUCGGGUUGUCAUGCCAAUGGCAUUGCCCGGUAGCUAAAUGCGGAAGAGAUAAGUGCUGAAAGCAUCUAAGCACGAAACUUGCCCCGAGAUGAGUUCUCCCUGAGACUUUAAGUCUCCUGAAGGAACGUUGAAGACGACGACGUUGAUAGGUCGGGUGUGUAAGCGUAGCGAUACGUUGAGCUAACCGAUACUAAUGAACCGUGAGGCUUAACCUU
rnacentral:rRNA from 2 species